rnacentral:rRNA from 1 species
GGAGCUUGCUCCCGGAUGUUAGCGGCGGACGGGUGAGUAACACGUGGGUAACCUGCCUGUAAGACUGGGAUAACUCCGGGAAACCGGAGCUAAUACCGGAUAGUUCCUUGAACCGCAUGGUUCAAGGAUGAAAGACGGUUUCGGCUGUCACUUACAGAUGGACCCGCGGCGCAUUAGCUAGUUGGUGAGGUAACGGCUCACCAAGGCGACGAUGCGUAGCCGACCUGAGAGGGUGAUCGGCCACACUGGGACUGAGACACGGCCCAGACUCCUACGGGAGGCAGCAGUAGGGAAUCUUCCGCAAUGGACGAAAGUCUGACGGAGCAACGCCGCGUGAGUGAUGAAGGUUUUCGGAUCGUAAAGCUCUGUUGUUAGGGAAGAACAAGUGCAAGAGUAACUGCUUGCACCUUGACGGUACCUAACCAGAAAGCCACGGCUAACUACGUGCCAGCAGCCGCGGUAAUACGUAGGUGGCAAGCGUUGUCCGGAAUUAUUGGGCGUAAAGGGCUCGCAGGCGGUUUCUUAAGUCUGAUGUGAAAGCCCCCGGCUCAACCGGGGAGGGUCAUUGGAAACUGGGAAACUUGAGUGCAGAAGAGGAGAGUGGAAUUCCACGUGUAGCGGUGAAAUGCGUAGAGAUGUGGAGGAACACCAGUGGCGAAGGCGACUCUCUGGUCUGUAACUGACGCUGAGGAGCGAAAGCGUGGGGAGCGAACAGGAUUAGAUACCCUGGUAGUCCACGCCGUAAACGAUGAGUGCUAAGUGUUA